CGACAUUACUUAAUUAGUACACAGAUUCAUCAACAAAAUUCCUGAAAAACCAUAUAUAACAAAUACUUAUAUAAAUGUAAAUCUAAAUACUUAAAAAAUGACUUUUUUUAAAACGCACCCAGACGAGUUAAAACGCGAUCGAUGGCAUUUUUGCAGCCAUCACAAGCCAUAGCAACGUUAAAUUGGUACUUCAUUAUCAGAUGAUCAAAAAUUCAACGAGAUUUGGACAAGAAACUGUUAAUUAACUUUUUU